rnacentral:rRNA from 1 species
GUCGAGCGGUAGAGAGGUGCUUGCACCUCUUGAGAGCGGCGGACGGGUGAGUAAUGCCUAGGAAUCUGCCUGGUAGUGGGGGAUAACGUCCGGAAACGGACGCUAAUACCGCAUACGUCCUACGGGAGAAAGCAGGGGACCUUCGGGCCUUGCGCUAUCAGAUGAGCCUAGGUCGGAUUAGCUAGUUGGUGAGGUAAUGGCUCACCAAGGCGACGAUCCGUAACUGGUCUGAGAGGAUGAUCAGUCACACUGGAACUGAGACACGGUCCAGACUCCUACGGGAGGCAGCAGUGGGGAAUAUUGGACAAUGGGCGAAAGCCUGAUCCAGCCAUGCCGCGUGUGUGAAGAAGGUCUUCGGAUUGUAAAGCACUUUAAGUUGGGAGGAAGGGUACUUACCUAAUACGUGAGUAUUUUGACGUUACCGACAGAAUAAGCACCGGCUAACUCUGUGCCAGCAGCG